AGCCCGCUAACAAUUAAACUUCCCUCUUCUUGUAAUGUUCUCAUCCUAGAUCUCUCUCUCUCUCUCAUCUUAUCCUUGCGACCUUGCCUACUCCAAUGAGAGUUACCGGACGGGAUGUUCCUCUCCAGGAAGUUUGGGUUUCUGUUAGAUCUGGAGUAGGACUCGGUUCACACAUCUCUAUUCACCGCAGCUCUGCCUCUCUCUCUCUCUAUACAUGCCGACGUCCAUUCUGCGUUAUCUGUAGCAGCGCUCCGACAUCAUUUUCAGAUAUGUGGCAGGGCUCUCUCUAUUAGAGUUGGAUCUCGAGAUACUUCAUAUUGUGUUCAGAUCUAUGGGUUUGUGAUUAUACAGUUUCUAUGCCGUCGAAACCCAUCCCAUCUUGAACUAUUCCCGAUUGAGCAGUCCGGUGCUUUCUCCAACUCUCUCUUACUCUUUUAGGUUUGACUUUUCAAAACUUUGUGCUUGCGGUUCUUUUUAAUUCGGAUUCUGAAGCUUUAUUUAUCUUGUUUGUGGUGAUUUUGUAAUGGUUUUGUUGAAUUUUGCCCAAGACGAAGCAAAAGAAGGAGCCUUUCACCGCUAAAAUUCCAAAGAAGCCCAAGAAGAAGGUAGAAAGGAACUGGAAUUAAAUAUCAAGGAUGAAUCUGAUGAGUUCAGAUUACCAACUGACCAGGAACUUGAACAAGAGGCGCAUCAACCUCCUGAUCUUUCACACCUUCAGGGGAGGUUAAAAGAGAUGGUGGUGGAUGGAAGCACAGUUAACCUUUGGAUUAUGGGACACUGCAGGUAAGUAAUUGCUCUAUGUGGGUGCUUGGUUUCUACUAGUCUGCUAUUUUACCAUGGUGAAGAUUAUCAAGGUCAUAUUACUUAUUGAAGUAACUGUCCUACAUAACACAAAAUGACUAAUAAUAUAGACUGGAUAACAAAAACUGUGUUAUUCCUAAGAAAAUGUUCUUUUAAAAGACUUCAUGCCAUCAUGUUUUCACUUUCUGUCUGGAUUAUUAAUUUGGUGGAUUUUGCAUAAAAGAUGGUUUGGAUUGAUAAUAUGUUAGAAUAAAUACCAUGAACCUUCACAUAUGUGCAAUAUCCAUAUGCUUAAUCUGUAAUUAUAUGAUUGGGAGAAAAUUGAGCGCUUGUUACUAAGUUUGGGAUGUUCUAACUUGCUUCGUUACUAUGUUUCAGGCUGGUCUUAUAAGCGCUUAUAUCAUUAAAACACUCUACUUUAGAAGGCAUUCUACAGAUGGUGAAGUUGCUCUCAUGAUGCUUAUGGCUUAUUUGUCAUACAUGUUGGCUGAGGUACCCUAAAACAGAAUAUGGAUAACUACAACUACUUGGACCUUAAUUAUGAAGGUUUUAAGUGAAUGAAGAAGAUUAUUACAAAGGAACUGAUUUAUGACUUAAUAAAUUUGUUUGUUUGCAGCUUUUCACUUAUCUUUUUCAUUUGCUUUUGUGCAUGUUCCAAUCUUUGUGGGGUGUUGUGAUUGUGACACAUUCUGGUUUACUGACUUUACUGUGUAGAGUUGUCAUAAGCAUGGAGUAAUGUUGAUACUUUACUCCAUAAGCGAGUUUAGUAAACUUUAUGCAUCCACAGGAAGUAUGAUUGCAUGGCCUAUCAAGUACAUCAAAGUGAAUUAGCCAUUUCGGAGGUAAAAGUUGGCAUCAAGCAUAAAUACGAAGAUGUUUAAAAGGCCACAAGAUGGUUCACUAUAUAUUUAUCUCGUGCAAUUAACAGAGACAAUGGAAAUCUAAGAUGCUCUCUGUUAAUCUAGAAUGUUUUAGAUUUUAGCAUGGUGAUGAUAUGUUGGUUUAGUUAAGUUGUUUUUGUACAAUACUCAAUUGUUGUUGGCAUAUAAUUUACAUUUUCUAAUUUGCA